CUCUGAUCCCUGAAGGGAGGACCCAGAGUCACCAGCCUGCCAAGAAGCACCGAGCAUCUGCUCUGGAGAAGGGAGUUAGGAAGGAAACGUGUGAACCACGCAGCCAGACCGGUCUUCAGAUGGCGAGACCUCUGAGGAAUUCAUCUGUGGUCAAUAGCGCUGGAAUCACCCAUGAGUCCAAGAUGGAAGGCUGAUGAAGAGAAGGAACAGGGAGAGGGAAUUAACUUUCCUGAGCUCAGUGCUUGAGUGAGAGUCAGAUCUCCAUAUACCAAUCAUGGAGCAGAGGUGCUAUGAGAGAUUCCUAACUCCUGAACAACUGUGACAAAGAUAGGUGUCUGACCACCAAAUGUUCCUGUUUUCCCCACAAGUGGCAGCUCUGCCAGGGAAUGCAUAUUUCAUCUAGGUAGGGUUAUGUGAUUAAUUCCCCUUAAAGACAUGUAAACAGCAGCAACAGAUGCCAUUUCUCACCUGAGGUUGUUGGUAUGGGGUGCAUGAUCCUCUGCAUAUUCAUUUCCUCCGCCAUGGAUUCUUAGCAUCAGGAGCCACAGGAAAGAAGCCAUCUGGAUUUCUGAGUCAUUAUUUGGAGGAAAACCUCAUCUUGAACUGAGACAUGAGUAAAAGACAAACUUCUGAAAUUGUACUAAGCCAUUAAGAUGUGAGGUUCUUUUGCGUAAUGGUCUGCCCUCAUGAACACACACAGACACAUUUUGUCGGCUUACUAGGAAUGCCCUUUGUGUUACUGAGCUUGCUGCUAGUGACAAGAUUACAAAUAUUCUUACAUUUAGGGGCACAUUAUAUUUUGGGGAUGCAUUUUACAUAACAACUAUGGUAGAGCUAUAUUCCAUUGUUAAAAACAAAAAUCCACAAUGUAUGAAGGUGCAGGCUCACACCAACAGAUAAAACAGGUAACUAUCCCCACAGCACAAGAGGAUUAUUCACUUCACCGAAUUAUCCAUUUUAGCAUGAAAAAAAAAAAAGUAUCAGGCUUCCUUAGGAGAUACAACUAACCUAAUAAGAUGGGCAUUACUUUCAUGCAGAGGCCCCUCAGCUCCUGCUUUUCAAAGACCACCCAGUUCACUUGAAAUGUGGUGCACCUAGGAAAAGUCAUUCCAGGGGCUCAGGCAGGGCCCUUCUUGCUCUCUUGCACAUUCCUUCCAAGCACUCAUUUCAUUGGCAGGUAGUACUCCUGAAUAUACCUCACAUGAGAGUAAACUGGGCAAGAAUAGUGAGCUUUCCCAGCCACCUGGAGCUCAGAACCCCUGCUUACCUCAUGUGGGACUUUCAGCUCUCCAUCCCCACUUUGGAUUAUUGUUGGAAGCUCCUGGUGCAUGUUACUUCUCAAUCUCCUAGACCUUCCAGAACAUCACAGAAUGUCCUCACUUCAGUUCCCUUCAAGAGUCACCCAGGACACAGCGUGUUAGCAUUCCCGUAGGUUUGCCCCACACACAAAGCUUAUCUUAGCUUUGGAGAUAAGCAAGAAACAUCUCUUAGAACCAUCCCACCUCUUCUUUCCACUUGUGGACAUGCCUAUCUUGGGAAAGGCUGAUGAUAUAAAAGAGAUUUCCAAAUUCCCAUGGGUCAGUAGACAUUCCAGCUUUCCCAAACCUUAACAACAAACCAAAGCAUUUGUGGUAACUUUUGCGUCAUAUGAUAUUUAUAGAAGUCUACCUAUUGUAAAAAUGUACAAUGGUAAUAGUAAUAGCUGAUAUUUUUUGAGCACUUACAGUGUGCUAAAUACUCUUCUAACGCUUUACAAGUAUUAACUCAUCGCCAACAAAUGUUGAAUAUUUUCAUCCAUUCUUCUUAUCCAGAUGUAGAUAAGUAGAAUGAGAUUCUAUUUACCUGUCAUUAUGAUUCUUCUGUACUGGUGGAUGCAUACCAUUUCUGGUUUCCCGGCUCAUAGGCCUUGCUCGUCUGACCUCUGACUAAACCAGGUUUUGAUAAUUGCAGUUGUUUUUAUUCCCUGUCUGCAGUCUCUUCCACAUUCUCUCCCACAAAUAUUCCUCUUCCACAUAUCCUUUCCUUCAGUUGUAAUAAAAUUAUAUACCAUACACAAGAUUUGAUAUUUGCAGAAUGAUUUUUAGUAUCAUAGGCUUAUAUGCUUUUGGAAGUAGAAGAAGUGGAACUUCAUAAAACUUUUUGGUUUUUCAAGAUAUGAACACUGACCAGCGAGAUGAAGUUACUUCCCUAAGAUUGCACAGUUGGUCUGUUUAGCUGGUACUAGACUUCAGAGAGGAUUCUUCCAAGUCCCCACUUAUCACUCUGUGCUCUGUAAAAGAGAAGAUGGCUUUCAUCUUAAAGCUCAUUUUAAAUCAUGAAGUGGGUAAAAGGACAGUCAGUCUGUGUGUGUGUGUGUGUGUCUCUCUCCUUUUCUCUCUAUUCAUUCAUCUUACCAUCACCUAAAUUGCUUAGGUAAGUUUUCUCAAAGUGCACCUGGGCAUAAAUUUCCUUGGAUCAUACUAGUCAUAUUGCCAAUUUAUAUGGAGGUAUCCAAUGAUAAAGUGACUACCAUGUCUGUUUACUUAUAAAUGUUAUACAUAAUGAAAAAUGCAGUAGCUGCAAGAAUUUUACAUGCUUCUGUGUAUUUUGUUAUUUAAUCACAGAGUUUUCUGCAUUUUUUGCAUUUAUUUACCUUUCGAAGGAUUAGAAGUUUUAAGAUGUGUGAAAAUGGUUGAACCAUCUACAAGAACUCUAAAAAUCCAAAGAAGAAAUGUUGAUGAGGAAAAUCAAAUGGACUAUUACACUGAAAUAAGACUUACUAUUGACGAUGAUAAAGAUGGAUAAAAAAUGGAAUAAUGAGAAAAAUAACCGGAAACAUUAAGGAGUGUAAAAUGCAAUGGAUGAUCCAGCAGUACACAAGUUUGGGAGCAUGAUGUUAGAAAUCUGCAAAACCUUGAGAAUGGAAGAUUUGGGGACAAUCUUUAAAUAUAUUAAAUAAAUUACCUAAAUGUUGUCAAGAUGGAAA